CUUAUCUGGUGUGUUUACGAACCAAUUUGGUCACCUUUUGUUGCCGUUUGACAAAUUGUUUUGGAAAACGAAAAAUGUGUUGAACAAAUUGGAAACAACGGUCAUGCUUGAACGGGUUCAAGAUCUUCGGCAAUCAACGAGAAGAGAUGCACUGCGUAAGGGAUCCGCGCAGAAAAUAACCUGAAAUUACCUGAUCUGGUCAAGAAGUUGUACCGGGCCUCUUUUGAAAUGAAUGGUGAAUUGCCCGAGGUCAUUACACAUGACUCGGAAUCUGAGUGAUAGCCGGAGAUAUCACUGCAAUUCCCCUCCUCUUCGCCUUCCUUGUCCAAGUCGUCCUCGACCACUUCACGGAUCAAUUCCAAAACCUCAAAGGGUUGGCAUGGAUCAUAUGGUCCAACCAGACCACAUCAUUCACCAAUGCAGAUCGAGGAGAAAGGAUGAAUGUCAAAAAGGGUAGGGUAGCUCGAGAAAGAUGUGCUACGCCCUUCUUAUCCUAAUUUAAUCAAACUCUGUUCCAGGAGUCUCCACUGGCAGGAUAGAAGAUCUCAAGAAUCUUUACGAUCGUUUCGAAUUUCACAAAGUCCUUAAAUGGCACGCUUCAUUGCCUUCAAAACCAACGCGAUCAGAUAGGCAAAUUUCCAUCAAAGCAAAGACGAGAAUUCCAGACAUGUUAUCGUUGGUUGUGAAUCUCCCAUUGACCGUCGAAAACAUUCGCAAUCCGACCAACUAAAUUGGUUCACAUACUUCAAAAAAUUCUACGGACACAUUUUUUUUAAAAAAAGGCAUGUAUUUGGUCUUCAAUGAGUCAGAAAAACCGCCUCCGAGGCUCAAGUGUCCAAAAGGAGAUCAAUAAGAUGAAGUCAAGUCGAGAGCCGUGCUCAUUAUUGCACUUUCAUCUUGGUUGUACUUCACUCUGCAAUAGUUUGGUGGAUCUGGUGAUGAUAAGAAUCCUUGUAUCUCUGAGGCAAACACGCCUCGUCCAUGUUAGGAGAUUAAUAAUCUCAGGCAAGGAGAGGGAAAAGCUGAGAAACAUGAUUGGACCAUCAACACUUGCCAUUAUUCUCAACCAGGCCCUUCUCACUUCUUUCUAGUCGAAACCGUUGGUUUGCAGACUCAGGUGGUCCAAGAGGAACUUCGACCGUUCUAUUCCUCGUCCACCAAG